GGUGGAGCAAACAGGCGAGCUGUCGGUGGAGCGAGCCUGGCAUCCACGUUACACGACUCGUACAUAGAUGUAAAUCAACUAAAAUGGACAUUAGCGUGUAUAAAAGUAUACGUGUUUUAUCACCGAUCAUUUCACGAGACACAAUAGAAUAUAUUUUUGCAAAUUUUCUCGCUUCGAAUGGAUUAUAAUUGUAUUAUGUAUGUCCUCAAAAUAUCUCGUAAUUUAAGCGGUUGUUCUAUUGCAUUUAUGGCAAAAUUACCAACACAUACUUUCACCAAUUUCUUUCUAAAAAAAAAUAUCUACGAUAUUGCCAGGAUCAUCUUACCGUUUGCUUUAAAUAAACUGUGACGUCAUCCUCUGCAAGCACACGCAGAUAAAGUGAAAUGUGGAUUAACAUCCUUUCAUUGAUCAUGACUUCAAGUGUAUUGCAAUUAAUGCUCAUCAUUAAAGGUUUAUUAUGCGGAAACAUCAAAUUGUAAUCAAUAUGUAUUUAUCGGUAUAUAUUUACCAAUAUAAAACUUUACCAAGACCUUAAUUUUUAAAUAAAUCAUUGUGCAGAAGUGUUCGACCAAACUGAA